GAAUAAGUUAUUAAGAGUACAAGGUGGAUGCCUUGGCGCUAAGAGGCGACGAAGGACGUGAUAGGCUGCGAUAUGCAUCGGUGAGGAGCCAAAUAUCCUGUGACCCGGUGAUUUCCGAAUGGGGAAACCCACCAGAAUUCAUAUUCUGGUAUCCUUUAGCUGAAUACAUAGGCUUUAGGAGGCGAACGGAGGGAAGUGAAACAUCUCAGUACCUCCAGGAGAAGAAAUCAAGAGAGAUUCCGGUAGUAGCGGCGAGCGAACCCGGACUAGGCCAAACCACAUGGUUUCGACUGUGUGGGGUUGUAGGGCUGGCAUAUAUUGAUCUGCAAUUAGAUAAGGGAACAGGUUGGGAAACCUGGCCGUAGAGAGUGAAAGUCUCGUACCUUAAAUCGAACGUAGCAUAGCCAGUACCUGAGUACCGCGGGACACGUGAAACCCCGUGGGAACCUGGGAGGACCAUCUUCCAAGCCUAAAUACUCCUUAGCGACCGAUAGUGAACCAGUACCGUGAGGGAAAGGUGAAAAGAACCCCUGUUAGGGGAGUGAAAUAGAACCUGAAACCAGUUGCCUACAAGCUGUGGGAGCGGACUUGUUCCGUGACCAUUUGCCUUUUGCAUAAUGGGCCAGUGAGUUAAUCUGUAAUGCAAGGUUAAGCAGUGAUGUGUAGCCGUAGCGAAAGCGAGUCUGAAUAGGGCGACAAGUAUUGCGGAUUAGACCCGAAACCAGGUGAUCUAUCCAUGGGCAGGCUGAAGCUUGAGUAAAAUCAAGUGGAGGGCCGAACCGUUGUAAGUUGAAAAUUGCUCGGAUGACCUGUGGAUAGGGGUGAAAGGCCAAUCAAACUUGGUGAUAGCUGGUUCUCUCCGAAAUAUAUUGAGGUAUAGCCUCAGGAGUUUACUUGCGGAGGUAGAGCACUGACAAGGCUAGGGGUCUCACCAGAUUACCAAACCUUAUCAAACUCCGAAUGCCGUAAGUUAUAUCCUGGGAGUCAGACUGCGGGUGCGAAGGUCCGUAGUCGAAAGGGAAACAGCCCAGACCGUCAGCUAAGGUCCCUAAAUCAAUGCUCAGUGGACAAGGUGGUGGAGUUGUAUAGACAGCCAGGAGGUUGGCUUAGAAGCAGCCAUCCUUUAAAGAAAGCGUAAUAGCUCACUGGUCUAACGAUUCUGCGCCGAAAAUGUAACGGGGCUAAGCAUUGUACCGAAGCUACGGGAUGCGUCUUUGACGCAUCGGUAGGAGAGCGUUCUCAGAUGGGAUGAAGGUGAAUCGGAAGGUUUGCUGGACUAAUGAGAAGUGAUUAUGCUGGCAUGAGUAACGUUAAAACGAGUGAGAAACUCGUUCGCCGUAAGACUAAGGUUUCCUGGGUAAAGCUAAUCUUCCCAGGGUUAGUCGGUUCCUAAGGCGAGGCCGCAAGGCGUAGUCGAUGGAAAACAGGUUAAUAUUCCUGUACCUGUAAGUGUGUGCGAUGGAGGGACGCAGAAGGAUAGCUCAGCCAACUGUUGGAUAUGUUGGUGUAAGUAUGUAGGCUUGAGUCAUAGGCAAAUCCGUGAUUCUUUAGGCCGAGAUACGAUGCCGUAACUUUACGUUUGAAGUGAGUGAUUCCAUACUGCCUAGAAAAGCUUCUAAGUUUAGCACUUAUAGACCGUACCGCAAACCAACACAGGUAGUCGGGUCGAGCAGACCAAGGCGCUUGAGAGAACUCUGGUUAAGGAACUCGGCAAAAUGAUCCCGUAAGUUAGCGAUAAGGGAUGCUCUCAUUAGUGAUUAGAUUUACUUUAUGAGCUUUUGAGAGCCGCAGAGAAUCGGGGGGGGCGACUGUUUACUAAAAACAUAGGUCUCUGCUAAGUCGUAAGACGAUGUAUAGGGACUGACGCCUGCCCGGUGCCGGAAGGUUAAGAGGUGGGGUUAGACUUCGGUCGAAGCUCUGAAUCGAAGCCCCGGUAAACGGCGGCCGUAACUAUAACGGUCCUAAGGUAGCGAAAUUCCUUGUCGGGUAAGUUCCGA
rnacentral:rRNA from 1 species